ACAUUCUGGCAGUCGCUGCGUUUUAACGCAGAGGAAAGUCCAUGCUCGCACAGUCUGAGAUGACUGUAGUGUUCGUGCCUGACGAAACAAUAAGUCAGGGCAGUCCGGCUGUACCGCUGGACUGACGGCGGGGAAUAGACCUGUGUCCUUAGGAUAUGGUCUUAUUACCCUGAAAAGUGCCACAGUGACGGAGCCCGUUUGGAAACAAGCGGGGUGGAACGAGGUAAACCCCUCGAGCGAGAAACCCAAAUAUUGGUAGGGGCGCCUUUCUGAAGGAAUAAAACGGAAAGAAAGGGCAGAGCAUAAUGCUUUGCAGAUAGAUGACUGCCACCGGAGUGCGAGGUGAAUAACCGUAACAGCACAAAGGGACAGAACAUGGCUUACUAGAA
rnacentral:RNase_P_RNA from 1 species